GCGGCGGACUGGUGAGUAACGCGUGGGUGACCUACCUUGAGGAUGGGGAUAGCUGUUAGAAAUAGCAGGUAAUACCGAAUACGUUCACAAUAUUAUGAUUAUGUGAAGAAAGGAGCUACGGCUCCGCCUUGAGAUGGGCCCGCGUCCCAUUAGCUAGUUGGUGAGGUAAAGGCCCACCAAGGCGAAGAUGGGUAGCCGGCCUGAGAGGGUGAACGGCCACACUGGGACUGAGAUACGGCCCAGACUCCUACGGGAGGCAGCAGCUAAGAAUAUUCCACAAUGGACGAAAGUCUGAUGGAGCGACGCCGCGUGGAUGACGAAGGCCGAAAGGUUGUAAAAUCCUUUUGCGGAUGAAGAAUAAGCGGUGGAGGGAAUGCCAUCGUGAUGACGUUAGUCCGCGAAUAAGCCCCGGCUAAUUACGUGCCAGCAGCCGCGGUAACACGUAAGGGGCAAGCGUUGUUCGGAAUUAUUGGGCGUAAAGGGCGCGUAGGCGGCCGCGUAAGUCUGAUGUGAAAACCCCGGGCUCAACCCGGGAACUGCAUUGGAAACUGUGCGGCUUGAGUCACGGAGGGGAAAUCGGAAUUCCUGGUGUAGGGGUGAAAUCUGUAGAUAUCAGGAAGAACACCGGUGGCGAAGGCGGAUUUCCAGCCGAUGACUGACGCUGAGGCGCGAAAGUGCGGGGAGCAAACAGGAUUAGAUACCCUGGUAGUCCGCACUAUAAACGAUGCACACUAGGUGUCGGGACGAGCGUCUCGGCGCCGGAGCGAACGCGAUAAGUGUGCCGCCUGGGGAGUAUGCCCGCAAGGGUGAAACUCAAAGGAAUUG
rnacentral:rRNA from 1 species